rnacentral:lncRNA from 1 species
UUUUUUCUUUUUUUUUUUUUGUUUUUUUGUCUUUUUGCUAUUUCUUGGGCCGCUCCAUAUGGAGGUUUCCAGGCUAGGGGUCGAAUCGGAGCUGUAGCCACCAGCCUAUGCCAGAGCCACAGCAACGCGGGAUCCGAGCCGCAUCUGCAACCUACACCACAGCUCAUGGCAACACUGGAUCGUUAACCCACUGAGCAAGCACAGGGACCGAACCUGCAACCUCAUGGUUCCUAGUCGGAUUCGUUAACCACUGCGCCACAAUGGGAACUCCCCAUUUCUUUUUUUUAAUUUUUUUUUGUCUUUCUGCCAUUUCUCGGGCUGCUCCCGUGGCAUAUGGAGGUUCCCAGGCUAGGGGUCUAAUCGGAGCUGUUGCCACUGGCCUACGCCAGAGCCACAGCAACAGCAACGGGGGAUCCGAGCCGCGUCUGCCACCUACACCACAGCUCACAGCAAGGCCAGAUCCUUAACCAACUGAGCAAGGCCAGGGAUCGAACCCACAACCUCAUGGUUCCUAGUUGGAUUCAUUAACCACUGAGCCACGAUGAGAACUCCUACAUGUACCUUUCUAGAAAAUUCAUAUGAUAUCACACACAUGUGGAAUCUAAAAUAUGACACAAAUGAACCUAUCUACAAAACAAAGAGAUGCAGGGACAAGGAGAACAAACCUGUGGUUGCAAAGGGGGGAGAAGGUGGUGGAGAGGGAUGGAUUGGGGGUUUGGGAUUAGCAGAUAGAAAAUAUAUAAAGAAUAGAUAAACAAAAUUCAAAUGAAUCUAUAGACAGAAAGCUGAUCCUUGGCUGUUUAGGUGAAGGGAACAGGGUGGGAGGGAGGACAAAGGAGCUGGGGAGAAUUUUUGGGUGAUAGAUAUGCUAUCUUUUUUUUUUUUUUUGCUUUUCAAGGCUAUACCUGUGGCAUGUGGAGCUCCCCUGCCAAAAAAGUACGUGGAUUAUGAAAGUAUGUGCAAUUUUAUAAAACUUCUUGUUUUCUUUUCAAAAUGUCCAAUCCUCAAGCCCGAUCACCGAGUUUCACAGGCGCCACCACAGGGAGACAGCUGGGAAUCUGUGAGCGUGUGUGUCUAUGCUCAGAGGUGCCAGGUGGUGCCACACACCUGACAGCCCUACAGGAAACGAUGAGUCUCAUAUGAACACACCCACACUCACACAUGUGCAUGCUCCCGCACAUACACACAGGGACACACGCACACAGACCUCACGUUCAUACAAAUAUACACAGCACAGACAUGUGCAUACACGCACUUAUGCAGACCCAGGGCUUCAUGAAGAGCCCAUCCCUCUGUGACACAUACGACACAGCUAACACGCACCACAACUUUUGGGGGCGCAAUCCAGCUCAAGGACUGGGGGCUUUAGUUGGUCUCACACUGAAGCUGCCUGGAGGUAGGUGGCAGAAAGACCCCAUGGAUGCGCCUGCAUUCUCCCAGCAGACACCGAGCUGAGAGGCCAUCAGGAUCCAAUCAUAUGACCUUGCUCCUGCUCCCAGGGCCUCUGUCACCUGCUUUGAGGAAGGUCUUGCUGACGCUUAGAUAGGCUGAGGCUCUGUGCCCUCCAACAUCCUCCAGGGCCAGCUGAUCAAGAGGCACUCGCACGGCCACAGAGGGGACUUUGACAGCUCUGGGUCCCUUGGUGGGGGUAGCAGGAGACCCCAUGCUCAGAGACUGGGGGCCGUGGGGGCAGUCACAGGUCCAGUCAAGGCACACCCCACCCCCAGGCCAGGAGGAAGUAGAUAAGGCUUGCUCAAGGCGUCUGCUGACCACCCUGACCACUGGGGCUGUAGAGGGGGUGGUUAGCCAAAGAGAAGGGGCGGAGCAGGGCAGACAUCAGCCAGGGGCCCUUGCAGGAGUCCCCACAGGGACCAGCUGACCUGCCCUAUAGCAGUUGCCCCCCCAGCCAUUGUAGCCCACUCAGGCCCACCACACCUGUACCUGGAAACUCCUCCAUCCUGGACCUCCCCACCCAGCCAGCCUCUCCUGGGCCUGCUCUGCAGGGAGCCUACACUUCCCUCCCAGAGCAGCUCCCUUUCUCAGCUUCCCAGCGGGAGGACCCUCCUAUUAAAAGAGCUCAUGUGUCUUAAAACCAGAGACACCUACAAAUCCUUCUCCAGCCUAGGGUAGAGGUCCUUCCCUGCUUCCCUGUAGCCUGGAGCCAACCCUUCCUGCUCCCACAUGCCCCUCGGCCCACACCCCCACUCCCAUGCCACAGAAACCACUGUUACCCACCCCAAAGGUGCCAUCAGACUCCUGCCAGUCAGACCUGCUGGCCAGCGGCUUCUCCAGGUCCUGCUUACUUACUCUGCAGCCCUGGGGACCCUGGGGUCAUCCGGACCUGCCACUGUGUAGGGGACCCUCUCCUGCCCUGAUCCCCAGGCUUUGCACCUAGAGCCAACAUCCAUUCUGUUGUGCCCCCUCAGGGGCCAAGUUCAUGUCCAUGGACGCUCACCCCACCUCCACCCCUCAACACCCAGGGUGUUUGUCCCUUGCUCCUCCCACUGACCACAUCCUGUCUGCUGUCCCCGGAACAGCCUUCUCUUCUCAUCGGGAGGUCAGGAGGGCCCCCGGGGCCCCCUGACUCCAUCCUCUGGGUCACUGCAGGAGAGUACCUGGAAGCAUCGGUCUAGAUGUGGGUGUCCCAGUACAGAGCCCCCAGGGGCACCCCCCUGACCAGCCCUAACCCCCGGGCCCUCAAGCCCCAUACAGCACAGCCCCGCUUUGGUAGAUCUGCUGCUGCAGGAAGCGGUUCUCAGACGCAUUCUGGCUGCUCCCACCCAGCCAGGCCCAGGCUCGCAGGCCAGACCUCGCAGGGUCCCUCUAGCCCAGUCGCAAAGAAGUUGCCCAAAGCCUCCAACUCUCAAUGGGAAGUCUGGUUCCUUCAGCUUGGGCUUCAUCUCCAAGAGACACUGCCCCUGCAACUCAGACGGGAACUGGCCCCACCCUGCUGCCUCCUUCUGGUGCCAUCCUUGUCCCUUGUCCUCACCCUCAGGUUGGUACGCCCCUCGAAGCCCCCCACCAGAGGCAGUUCUGCUCCCAAUACAGAUGUACCCUCUUAGACUCAGAGUUGCCUCAUUCUACGGGGAGGCACUGUUUUCUUUUUUUUUCCAUUUUUGGCUGCCUCCGCAGUACAUGGAGCUGUGGGCCAGGGGUCAGAUCUGAGCCGUAGUCUUGACCUAAGCUGCAGCUGUGGCAACGCCAGAUCCUUAAGCCACUGUGGCGGGCCAGGGACUGAACCAGCAUCCGAGCACUCCCAAGACGCCGCUGAUCCCAUUGCACCACAGUGGAAACUCUGGUGGCACCAUUUUAACCUAAGCCCUGGGGCUGACCUGAUCCCCUCUACAUCCUCACUACAAAGGCCCCCGACCUGUUCUGCAAAAAUGACUUCCAGAGAAGUCCACCCAAGGGAGAGAUCCUGCCUGGAGCAGCCUGAGAGGUGCCACCUCCAAGCAUCCUCGCUGGCGCUAAGAGUUAACUGUUUUCUCAAUCCAUGGCCAUCAGUGGGCCUGAAAGAGCACUUUGUCACUUUUAAUCCUCUGACGGUCAGGCUGAGUUUUUUUUGAGAAUUAGUGGAUUCAGUAACCAUUUUUCUGUUUCUGGAAGUUGUUCAUGUUGGUUGCAUUCCCCCCCGCCCCACUGAACCAUGCCUACCUAAUUUAUUGCUUUGGAGGAGCUCUUUGUAUAGGAUGCUCUUGGCAUCAUUUGAUGAACCUAAUUCAAACCAGUUUACCUCUUUUUUUUUAUUUUUACUUUUUUUUGUCUUUUGUCUUUUGUCCUUUUAGGGUCACACCCGCGGCAUAUAAAGAUUCCCAGACUAGGGGUAGAACUGGAGCUGUAGCCGCCAGCCUACGCCAGAGCCACAUAAACAUGGGAUGCGAGCCGCAUCUGUGACCUAUACCACAGCUCACGGCAACACCGGAUCCUUAACCCACUGAGCGAGGGCAGGGAUCAAACCCGCAUGGUUCUUAGUCAGGUUGUUUCCACUGCUCCACGACGGGAACUCCCCAAUUUACUUCUAAGUAUGGUGUUUUUGGAUACAAAUACUGUAUUCCCCAGCAGCUGGAUCUGUGGGUCAUUUCAUGAUGUCUGCCGCCCACUCCUCUCCCAGAUCUGAUGAACAUGGAAUCACCUUCUGCACUCCUCUCCCUCCCUGGACUUCUUACAUUUAAGCUUUUAUCCAUCUGGAAGUUAUACUGGCGGGGGUGGGGGGGGUAAGAGUUUGCUAGGGCUGCUCUAACAAAGUACCACAAACCAGGUGGCUUAAAACAAGAGAAAUACACUGUCUCGGGUUUCAGGAUGAAUGCAAACUCAAGGUGGGGGUGGGGAUGGCUCCCUUCAGAGGCUCGGAGGGAGACAGGGUCUCGUGCCUCUCCAGCUUUGGGGGACCCUCACUGCUCCUUGGCUUGUAGAUGUACACCCCUCUGAUUUCCUUUCCCAACAGCACAUGGUAGCGUUCACUGUCUCUGUGUCCUCUCUUCCUCGUAUAAAGACACCAGUUAUUGGAUUCAGGAUGAAGUCGCUUUGAGACCUUUAAUCACAUCUGCAAAGACCUUACUUCCAAUCAAGGUCACACUCUAAAGUUCUGAGCAGACAUGAACUUCAAGGGACACUUGUCGACCCAGUACAGCGUGGAAAGUGAAAGGAGGAUCUAGGAGUUUCCUAGUGGCUUAGUGGGUUAAGGAUCCAGGAUUGUCACAGCUGUGGCUCAGGCUAUGGCUGUUGUGGGUUCAGUCCUUCGCAGGGAACUUCCACAGGCCGCAAGUGCAGCCAAAAAACAGAGAAGAUGAUCCAGAUGGUCUCCAAAGAGUGAAUCAAUUGUUUUAAUGGUUUUUUGUUUGUAAUUUUUUUUGUAAACUGCUACACCUGUGGCCUAUAGGUUGAAUAAGAGCUGCAGCUGCCAGCCUGCGCCACAGCCACACCAACACCAGAUCUGAGCCACAUCUUCCACCUACGCCAUAGCUUGAGGCAACACUGGGUCCUUAACACCCUAAGCGAGGCCUGGAAUCAAACCUGCAUCCUCACAGACACUAUGUCGGGUUCUUAACCUGCUGAGCCACAACGGACACUUCUGUGUUUGUAGUUUUUAAAAAUUAUUUACUUAUUUAUUUAUUUUUGCUUUUUAGGGCUGCACUCUUGGCAUAUGGAAGUUCCCAGGCUAGGGGUUGAAUCUGAGCUACAGCUGCCCGCCUACACCACAGCCACAGCAAUGCAGGAUCCUAGCCAUGUCUGUGUCCUACACCAUGGCUCACGGCAACGCCAGAUCCUUGACCUACUGGGUGUGGCCAGGGAUUGAACCUGCAUCCUCUUGGAUCUGAGUUGGGUUCAUUAACUGCUGCCCAAUAGCGGGAACUCCAUGUUUUUUAUUUUUUUGUUUUUUAUGGCUUCACAGUGACAUAUGGAAGUUCCUAGGCUAGGGGUC